GUGGGGAAGAGGGCGGCGGGGCGUCCCGUCCCCUCCCGCCGCCACUCCGCUUUCAACUUCGUGACGGAAGGGUGGGCCAGUUUUCAUCCGCGGAAAACUACUUUACACGGCCUUCCACAGCAAAUAUAAAUUGAAGUAUAAGUUUUAUAGUGCCUAGGGAAUUGUUGGACAAUCUUUGGACGCUCCCAAACCGGUCCUGAGAAAACUGCUGUGGUGUUGAUCUGGCGUGUGAAAUCGUAAAGUUCAGCCGAUUAUGAUGUCUGUUCCGAAAGGAAAAAUGAGGACCGAGUGCAAAGUGUACGUGGGGAACCUUGGCAAUGCUGAUGCCAAGCAUGAGUUGGAAUCAGCUUUUUCUAAGUAUGGGCCUCUGGUCAAUGUGUGGGUAGCCCGCAAUCCUCCCGGGUUUGCCUUUGUGGAGUUUGAGGACCCAAGGGAUGCUGAGGACUCUGUGCGGGCUCUGGAUGGCACUCGACUAUGUGGUGUGCGGGUGAAGGUGGAGAUGUCAACUGGACGUUCUCGUCGUGACCGCUUCCACUCUCCUCCACGUCGAGGCGGCGCCGGUGCAAGGAGAUCAAGGAAUAUCUGGCCCCAAUUUCUUCUUGUUCCACCACCUACUCCUACUGUUGCUCCCACACCACCACCACCACCACCACCAUCACCACCACCACAAGUACUGCCAACACCAUCUCCAUCACCACCUCUAGCAGUAGCAGCAGCAGCAGCAGUCUGUCAGCAGCCUUGCGGGUCUCCUCCAACCUUGAGCUGGUCCCGAGUUUGGAUCCACUGGCCUUCCAGCCUCCUGCAACCAGCCUGACCAGAAACCAGCAGCUGGUUGUCCCUUAGAGGCACUUUCCAGUCAGCUGGGAAUAAUUUUUCCCCACUAACUGGGCUGGGCCAGCUGCUGGUUUCUCUUCAGUAGUGGGGGCCAAUCUCACCAAAUUCUCAUACGCCCGACAACGCUAAAACGCAGCGUGGGCCCCCGCCCAGCACUCACCCGCCCCUGAGUACUCCAUUUGACCUCCCUCCUCGCCUCUGAAUCCCCGGUGCCCAGCCAUCACACGGGGCUUUUCCAGCGUUGACCUGCUGUAGGCCAGCCAUGCCACUGUCGGUCAAGGGUGUUUGCCCCCACUUUCUCGCGUACGGCGCACACCCACCUGGCUCAACAUAACUGCUACUACUACUACCACCUACUACUACCACUACUACUACUACUACUACCACCCUGUCUGUUUGAACAUCCUAUCCAUAGUCACAAACUACAGGUCGCGCUCCCCACGGAGGUUUGGGGGCAGCCGAGGACGAUCACGCUCCCGCUCCCCCAGGCGGUCCAGGUCCCGCUCUCCAAGGCCAGCUCGCCGUGGCUCC
rnacentral:misc_RNA from 1 species